AGAGUUUGAUCAUGGCUCAGGAUGAACGCUGGCGGCGUGCCUAAUACAUGCAAGUCGAGCGAACUGAUUAGAAGCUUGCUUCUAUGACGUUAGCGGCGGACGGGUGAGUAACACGUGGGCAACCUGCCUGUAAGACUGGGAUAACUUCGGGAAACCGAAGCUAAUACCGGAUAGGAUCUUCUCCUUCAUGGGAGAUGAUUGAAAGAUGGUUUCGGCUAUCACUUACAGAUGGGCCCGCGGUGCAUUAGCUAGUUGGUGAGGUAACGGCUCACCAAGGCAACGAUGCAUAGCCGACCUGAGAGGGUGAUCGGCCACACUGGGACUGAGACACGGCCCAGACUCCUACGGGAGGCAGCAGUAGGGAAUCUUCCGCAAUGGACGAAAGUCUGACGGAGCAACGCCGCGUGAGUGAUGAAGGCUUUCGGGUCGUAAAACUCUGUUGUUAGGGAAGAACAAGUACGAGAGUAACUGCUCGUACCUUGACGGUACCUAACCAGAAAGCCACGGCUAACUACGUGCCAGCAGCCGCGGUAAUACGUAGGUGGCAAGCGUUAUCCGGAAUUAUUGGGCGUAAAGCGCGCGCAGGCGGUUUCUUAAGUCUGAUGUGAAAGCCCACGGCUCAACCGUGGAGGGUCAUUGGAAACUGGGGAACUUGAGUGCAGAAGAGAAAAGCGGAAUUCCACGUGUAGCGGUGAAAUGC
rnacentral:rRNA from 1 species